rnacentral:rRNA from 1 species
AUUAGGGUUCGAUUCCGGAGAGGGAGCCUGAGAAACGGCUACCACAUCUAAGGAAGGCAGCAGGCGCGCAAAUUACCCAAUCCUAAUACAGGGAGGUAGUGACAAGAAAUAACAAUACAGGACUUUUUUAGUUUUGUAAUUGGAAUGAGUUAAGUAUAAACCCCUUUACAAGUAUCAAUUGGAGGGCAAGUCUGGUGCCAGCAGCCGCGGUAAUUCCAGCUCCAAUAGCGUAUAUUAAAGUUGUUGCAGUUAAAAAGCUGGUAGUUGGAUUUCUGUUAAUAAUUUAUAUAUAAUAUUUUUAAUAUUUAUAUAAUAUUAACAUAAUUCAUAUUACUAUAUUAUUAUUAGUAUAUGAAAUUUUACUUUGAGAAAAUUAGAGUGCUUAAAGCAGGCAUAUGCCUUGAAUACUCCAGCAUGGAAUAAUAUAAAAGAUUUUUAUCUUUUUUAUUGGUUCUAAGAUAAAAAUAAUGAUUAAUA